rnacentral:tRNA from 1 species
GCCCGGGUGGUGAAAUUGGUAGACGCAGGGGACUCAAAAUCCCCCGCCGCAAGGCGUGCCGGUUCGAUUCCGCCCCGGGCACCA